UAGGGAAUCUUCCACAAUGGACGCAAGUCUGAUGGAGCAACGCCGCGUGAGUGAAGAAGGUUUUCGGAUCGUAAAGCUCUGUUGCUGGUGAAGAAGGAUAGAGGUAGUAACUGGCCUUUAUUUGACGGUAAUCAACCAGAAAGUCACGGCUAACUACGUGCCAGCAGCCGCGGUAAUACGUAGGUGGCAAGCGUUGUCCGGAUUUAUUGGGCGUAAAGCGAGCGCAGGCGGAAGAAUAAGUCUGAUGUGAAAGCCCUCGGCUUAACCGAGGAACUGCAUCGGAAACUGUUUUUCUUGAGUGCAGAAGAGGAGAGUGGAAUUCCAUGUGUAGCGGUGGAAUGCGUAGAUAUAUGGAAGAACACCAGUGGCGAAGGCGACUCUCUGGUCUGCAACUGACGCUGAGGCUCGAAAGCAUGGGUAGCGAACAGG
rnacentral:rRNA from 1 species